GCUCACUCUGGCUGCACAUAUACUAAAAAUUGAGUGACACAGAGAAGAUUAGCUUGACCCCUGUGCAAGGAUGGUGUGCCCAUUCAUGAAGCAUUCCACAAAGAA